AAGCCCUUCACCUAUGGUUCUGCAUGUGAGUUGAUGGCUGCCGCUGAAUUGUUCGGUUGUCGCUUUCAAGUGUACCGAAAUGGUCAAAUAUUUUACACCUUUGGACUACCGCCAAUGCCUCUUAAACAUCUUAGAUUCACAGGUGACGAUUUGAGUAGUGGACACUUUGAUGUUUAUGAAUGUUUCAACUCUCAAAAACUGGAUGCGAAGUUAUCGAUGAAACUGGUUGUAUGCUUACAACGCUUGACAGAUGCCGAAUGUCACUUCAACACAAGUCCUGCAAAUAUUAACGUAAUUGAAACAAACCAUGAAACU